rnacentral:sRNA from 1 species
GCAACCUGAAUCUCAAACCUGGAGAGUGCCUUCGAGUGCGAGGCGAGGUGGCCCCUGACGCUAAGAGUGAGUUCUUCCAGCAAGGUGCGUUCAUGGGAUACUGAGUGACAGAUUAGUCAGUCAGUGGGGCUGGAGCUGGCCGAGGUGGCCUCAUGCCCACCCGUUACCCCCCAGCUUCGUGCUGAACCUGGGCAAAGACAGCAACAACCUGUGCCUGCACUUCAACCCUCGCUUCAACGCCCACGGCGACGCCAACACCAUCGUGUGCAACAGCAAGGACGGCGGGGCCUGGGGGACCGAGCAGCGGGAGGCUGUCUUUCCCUUCCAGCCUGGAAGUGUUGCAGAGGUGUGCAUCACCUUCGACCAGGCCAACCUGACCGUCAAGCUGCCAGAUGGAUACGAAUUCAAGUUCCCCAACCGCCUCAACCUGGAGGCCAUCAACUACAUGGCAGCUGACGGUGACUUCAAGAUCAAGUGUGUGGCCUUUGACUGAAAUCAGCCAGCCCAUGGCCCCCAAUAAAGGCAGCUGCCUCUGCUCCCUCUGAA